UUGGUGGACAAGUUCAUGCAGGACCUAC
rnacentral:piRNA from 1 species